UCUACUAUUUUACCCUACGUUGCACUAUUAACCGCGUUGCGAACCGUUUCCUUUCGCCUCACCGGAGAGACACUAUAACGUACACGUUACUGUACAUACGCUUCCGCAAACAUUAAAUGCGCCCCAGCGCGGGAAACCUAAUAUUCCACGCUAUUCGCCACACCGAGUGUUUGCAGUUUGGAAUCUUCACCGACGCCUCCGCUUCCUGAAAUUAUUAAACUAUUCUGUCGACCACAUUGCACCAUUACAAUCACAGUUGUAGUCUUUUACCCUACGUUGCACUAUUAAUCGCCGUGCGCGGUCGCACUGUUACACGCUUUAGCGGAGAAUCUUGAACGCUUUUGAUCUGAGUUACACCACUUAAAGCCUUCUUUAAAUAUAAAUAUCAUUUCAUCUCACAAUGCGUUGCACUAUUAUCGGCCCGCAAAACCAAGUAAUGUUGUUCCGCCACGGCCGCCAAACGUCCGCAUACAACCGGGCAGAAGAAAGGUUUCGCGGCGAGAGUCUAUUGCUAACUGCUUAAUAAAGAAGUGGUGCCGGAAUUGCCAGAGAUUAGGGCACAACAAAAGGUCAUGCAAGAACCCUCCUGUGGCUAGAGCAAACCAGCUGCCCGCGACGACAUCCGCGGGCGCACCGCAGGAAACAUCGGAAAAUCCAUACAUCUUAUUGUAAUAGCUCAAGGCUAAUGUUAAUAGUGAACAUAUAGAUAAUUUGAUUAAGUAAAUUUUUGUAAUAGUAUAAAAUAGAGGAUAACAGUUCAACAUAUUUAAUAAAUAGUGUAACGACGAUCUCAAAAUUUUUACUGGUUAAGUGAGGUUGCACUGAAACGAGUCUACGGAUGCACUGUUAUAGCGGUCAUUGCACCAUUUCUACUGCAGUAGAAAAUUCCCGUUGCACUAGUAUCCCUGACGCACAGAGGCUAAUUCGACACGGCUUCUGAAUAGUCGGUUUAUCUUUUCGUGACAGUUUCGAUAUACCCACCGGUGUCUCUUCGAGCGCCGAAGGGACGCUAUAACGUACACGUUAGUGUUUGUUAUCAGGUUUAUAAUUUAUUAGAGGUCAGCCGAAGAGGCAGCGGUGGGUUGGUGAGGUGACGAUUCGUUUUGUUUAAAUAUCGGUUCUUCAGAUGCAUUCCCCAUUACGGAGACAGUGGUGUUCGUGAAAGAAGUGAAGACGACAACGGCAUUCCCGGUAAGAGAAAGCGCAGCGCUUCCCCUCCGCAGCAGCGCUUCCCCUCUUACGAGGACGGUCGUGCGUCGCCUUCGACUCGUUCACAAAUAUUGGCCUUGCUUUAACCUCCUCGCCUUUACGUAGAGAAGAUUCGCACUCUCUGGAGUGUUUUAUUUGCUAGGAGCCCAUUGGCCCUCCUCUCAUCUCAUACAGUUUCUUAAUUUCUUGCAGAUAUUUAUUUUUAUCGUUGGAUUCUAAUGUUUUUCUGUCUGUACUGUCUGUUUCAUGGUAGAGCGGAGCUCCAAAUUGCCCAAAGCAAAUGAAACAUUCCAGAUAGUGCGAAUCUAACGCCUCAUUGCUGGAUCGAUCGUACCCUUCCGAUCGAGCCUCCUCCUCCUCCUAGCAGUCUCCUUCGGCAGUCUCUUUUGGCCAAUACCUGUUUGCGUCGGCUAUUUGAUCAUGGAUUUGCAGAUAAACUUCGAUGAUUACAUAAUCAAUCUUAUGAAGAGAUUGUUAUAGUUGAUGUAAUAGAUGGUUGCAUUGUGAUAAAAUCGUNUGUUUGUAUUUUAUUAAGUACUAUAAAAUCGUGUAAUCGGCUUUACAGAUAAUGUAAUUCUUGUUCACAGAUUAAUGUACUCCUUACGAAUUUGUUAUACUAUUUACAAGUUACUCUUUUUUACCAAACAUUGUUGCACUGUUUACUUCAUUUUAUAAUAUUAAUUUCAGUUUUUUUGCACUUUUAUGUUCAUGUUUUCACCUAGCCUGGGAAACGUUAAUAAGGAAUUGCACUAUUAUGUUAUUAUUAUCAACUAGCUUGGGAAACGUUAAUAUGAAACUGCGGAAGCCAUAUUUAAACAAAACCAAAAUAUGUUUGAAUAGUUGCUUUUACUUUUCCCGUGGCAGCUUUGAUAUAACCGCCGGUGUCUCCUAUCCUCACAGAAGAGACGCUAUAAUGUAGACGUUACGCUACGUACUUUUAAAAGCAUUAAAUGCGCGCUGCGCUGGGAGCGUAUAUCCAUGCUAUUCGCCAAAACAUGUGUUUGCUGUUCCAUGAAUCCAUUAUACUAUUAUGGUGACAUAGUUGCACCCUUAUGAACUUUGUUCUACUAUUUUACCCUACGUUGCACUAUUAACCGCGUUGCAAACCGUUUCCUUUCGCCCCACCGGUGUCACGCCCCGGGACCGGCGGAGGCCCUCCCGGUAGCGUGCCCAGACCCGCCAUAUGUCUACACAUAUAAGGCGUCUACACUAAAAGCGGAAGUAAAAGCGAAAAAAAAGAACAGUAGAGUAAAUAGCAACUAAUGAUAUCAGAGCGAGUAAAUUUCUAUCAUCUACACCAAGGUAAAGAAAUAAGGCUAGACAACAAAAGAAACCAUAAGUAGAACACUAUCUGUCUCAAAAGUACAAAAAUGGUGGUCUCUAGUACACUGGUAAAACUCUCAACCUCUCGCAAAAAGAAAUACAUCGAGAGGUAGACCACCUAACAACUCGUCCCUCGCUGAAGAGCUAGCUGGAAGCAAUGCCCUUCCCUCGGUCCCUGGCCUCACCCGGCGUGGAAGGCUCUGAAAGAAAUCAUAAAACAGAGGGCGUGAGAACUAUAAUUUAUAGUUCCCAGUGGGCAAUUACUGACCUCAGCUCAUCGCACCACUAGGCCCCAAAAGAAAAGGAGUAAGUAUAAUAAACAACAAUAAGGAUAACAGUAACAACAGUAAGAAAGUAUAAUUGAAGUGCUAACCCAUAUGUCUCAAGUAAGCAUGAUGCCAUGGUGAUGUACAUCUACGCUAUCAUAAGAUAAUAUGUCCAAUGCAUACUAAUAUGUCUCAACAUAAUAAACAAGUAAACCUCACGAUGCAAUAUGUCAAUGCAUAAGGGUAAACACUAUCCAAACGACCGAGUAUACUACUAUGCAAUAAUGAAACCGGCAAGUAUACUAAAUGUACCAAUGCUAUAUCAUGAGCAUGUCCAAGCAAUCCAACUACUAAUCCUAUCUAGUAGUGAUUGUCCAUAUACAACACCGUGUCGAUUUCCAUUUCCAAUUUAAGGACCUACUCAAGGUAGUCCAGCUUGUGCCGCCUAAGUGUCUGUGGUAGCCCGACAUCCCUACUCUUGGAAUGUGUCUGUCCCACUCGACCCCGUAGGCUUCUCAAUACCGCACGAGCGAACGUAGUCGCGUAGGCUAACUCCGGAGUGCCGGCUUGUAGGGAGCGACCCUCACAAGCAUGUGCGAAUGAGCACAAAUGGCAAGCAAGCGUAGUCCAAGUCUCAAGUGUCGAAUCCUCAUGUCUCUAACAUGGUAUCAUAACUAGCAUACCGAAGAUCUAGUCUAAGUCACAAGAUGAAGUUCCAACAUUCAUUACGCCUAGUGCCCCUUGAUGACACUUAGACAAUCUAAUGUACAACACAUACCCAAUCCCUCAAUGGCUCUAACCACUAAGUUCACACAUGUCCCGAGCUCACUGCCGUUUGAUGACAUUAGCUCUCCAAUUCACAUACAUUCUAGUUCGAUAGCUCUAUAUGGCAAUUUUGUCAACUUUCAUGUCUCAAAUAAACUUACGUUUAAAUGCAUGAAUCCAAUCCCAUUUACACUAUAGGAGCAUGGAACCACGUCUCAUAUAGAAUGCUAGGAGCAAUUAUAGGCCUACAAAGCUACUCUCUACUACAUAGUGGUCCAAAAUUUCAUCAUAUAUAACAUAGGCCUUUUAAGCAUUCUAAAAUUCACAAUAAAUACAUAUAACAAGAAUAUGCAUGCUUUUUCAUUUAACAAUACUUAAUUAAGCACAAAUGAGAAUUUCUCAUUGUGUGGCUAGGUCAAACCCACCGAACCGUCGCGUGCUCCUUCGAUUCGCCGAACGGAGUUGUCCACGAGCAUCAAAAUACCCUAAAAGUGAUCAGCGAAUAGAUACGAGAGCAUUACGACCAACCAAGAGCUCAAAUAUUAACCUAGAAGCGAAAGGGCCAAAAUUCACCUCAAGAGGAGAAAUCUCUUCCAAAGCUCCAAAAGAGAGCUAGAACCCUUCCAAACCAAGCCCAAGGAAGGUUAUAAUCCAAUCAAUCUAGCCCCAAAAGCCCUAGAUCAAAAAGCCCCAAAAUCAACCCUAAAUUUCAUUUCUAGGGUUCCAUCUACUAAAAAUCCUCAAAUCAAGGUCUAGAGGAAGAAAAGAGCAACAAACCUCCUUAGAAGCUCCAAUCCAAGCUCCAAGGAUGAAGAUCUCCCCCCUUGCAAGCUCCAAGUCCAAGCCUUCAAGCACCAAGGAAGAUGAGAGGGUGGGGAAGAUGCUCCAAGUCCACAAGUAGCUCCAAACUUCUUCUCCUUCUCUCCUUCCUCUCCUUCUCCUUCUUCUUCUUCUUCUCUAUCAAGGGUGUAGAGAGGGUUGAGAGAAGAGAAAUGGGGAGAGGAGAGAGUGGAGGGGUCAUAUAGACCCUCUAUUGCUACAAAAUCCCAAGAGGCCCCUCAAAAAUCCAAUAUUGCAUUAGCCCGGUCUGGGCAAUUUUCGCCCAGAGGGACCGGUCUCUCCCCAGCAGGGACCGGUCUCUCGCUGCGAACCCGAAAAACCAACGUUCGGGAACCGGUCUCUCCCCACACAGGACCGGUUGCCUCAAGGCUGCCGCGACACUGCUCACUGGGGGACCGGUCUCUCCUUCCAGGGACCGGUCCCCGAGAUUAAAAACUCUCAGGACUAAACCAAAACUCAGGUUUUCGAACUUUUUAGGUCGGAAAACAUUCUACAACCCUCCACCAAGUGUGGAGAAGCUCGAAACACAUCCAAACACUCGAACCUCGCAAUUUGCAAAGGUCCAGUGUGUUGCAACCGGAGAGACACUAUAACGUACACGUUACUGUACAUACGCUUCCGCAAGCAUUAAAUGCGCCCCAGCGCAUUUAACGUAAUAUUCCACGCUAUUCGACACACCGAGUGUUUGCUGUUUGGAAUCUUCUCCGACGCCUCCGCUUUCUAAAAUUAUUGAACUAUUCUGUUGACCACAUUGCACCAUUACAAUCACCGUUGUAGUCUUUUAACCUACGUUGCACUAUUAAUCGUCGUGCGCGUCGCACAGUUAAUCCCUGUCGCAUUUUAAUGCUAGUGGCAGGCAUGAAGAGUGACGUGUACAUUAAUAUUCGGUUAAGUGAGGAGAAGAGGCACCGGCGGGUUUGUCAGCCGACGAUUCGUUUUGUUUA
rnacentral:lncRNA from 1 species